UAGAACCAUUGCUGUGGGAAAUAUGGACUC
rnacentral:piRNA from 1 species